GAUGUAGUCUUUGUGGUUCUCUUCUUUCUUUCUUUCUUAUUCUCCUAAUUCUUAAAUUCUUAACACCAUGGAAGCAAGUCUUUUCUUGUGCACGUUUAAGUUGCUGAGAAUGGUAGCUUAUGGGAGUACUUGCCAAAGAGUUGGAUAAGCAAUUUGCACGGGCAAGAAGUAUGCAGAUUAAGGAUUCAACUUCAUCCUUGAGGACAAGGAUGUUCUCAAAGACGAGGGACCAUAAUCUAAGAAGCUAAGCCAAGGAAAGGAAGUUAAGUUGUUUUUUAGUUGCAUUAGUUAGUUAGCUGAUC
rnacentral:misc_RNA from 1 species